CUUGCUUCUUGAAAAACUCACUGGUGCCCUUCUUUUCCCAUAGGAGAGGUUUUUGGUCUGCAUCUUGUUUUGGAGGUUUGUGUGGACAUAGGAUGCCUGGUGAGUUCUGGAGAUGGAUUUGGACAGGAGGAAACCCCAACCCAACACUGUCAUACCUUGUUACACAACAGUCCCAUACCUUGUUUUCCCCCAAAACCAGGAUUUGUCAUUUCUAAGCCUUGGCUGGAUGGAGAAGGAGGCUGUAAGAAAGAGGAAGAUGCCCCAGGACACUGAGGCAGGCACUGAGCUGCAGGCAGAGACCAGGGAGGAGAAAUUCCCCUGGCAGAACAUUGCAGAAGAGGCCGUUUUGAGCAUCUCCACAGCACAGUAAUCCAACGGGAGGAAAAACCUUAGAGAUAUCCCAUGAGGAAGGGCUCCAAAUCCAACCCAGGGUGCUCCAAGGAGGAAAGACCCAUCCCUGUGCCAGGAAGGCAGCUAGAGCUUCAGCCAAAGCUCAGACCUGGUGGUCUACAAGUAGCAUCAUAUUGGUGAGAAUCACUACAGGUGCUUGGAAUAUUGGAAAGAGCUUCAGCCAGAGAUCCCACCUGAUCUGCCACCAGAAGAUCCACACCUGGGAACAGCCAUACAAGUGCCUGAAAUGUGGGAAGGACUUCAGUGAUGACUCCGACCUCAUCAUCCACCAGAGCCUGCACACUGGGGAGCAGCCCUACACAUGCAGGGAAUGUAGGAAGAGCUUCAGCCAGAGUUCCAAACUUCUCUCUCUCCCACCAGCUUGUCCACACUGGGGAGCGGCCCUACCAGUGCCCCAGCUGCAGAAAGAGAUUCAGCUUCAGAUCCCACUUGAUCUACCACCAGAAGAUCCACAGUAAGGAACAGCCCUACAAGUGUCCUGUGUGUGGGAAGAGUUUUCAGAGGCGCUCCCAUCUGGUCAUGCGUGAGCAAACACACACAGAGGGAGAGGCCCUUCUGCUGCCCCGACUGUGGGAAGGGCUUCAAGCACAACUUCACCUUCAUCAUACCCACCAGCACAUCCACAACACUGAGAGGCCCUACAAGUGUCCUGAGUAUGGGAAGAGCUUCUCCUACAGCUCUGUCUUGAUUUCACACCAAUGGACCCAUGAGUAGGGGAAGCCCUACAAGUGCCCUGACUUCAGGAAGAGUUUUAUCUCCUGGUCCAACUUCAUCACCUACUAGAGGACCCAUGUUGCAUUAUCCACAGUGACCCAUGUUGUGCAAAAACAUGGUGAUCCACAUUCCUGGUGAUCCAUGUUGAGUGAAAACCUGGUGACCUAUGUUCCACAUGAUCCACAUUGGGAAGACACCUGGCUGCUGGUCUUUGGGCACCUGGAUGAAUGCAGGGGAAAACUUCUAUCAGGAUGGGGUCUGACACUGGAAAUUGAAGUACUGAGCCUGAACAGCAGGCCCUGCGCCAAAGUUGAUCUCUAGAUGAACCUUCCAACCAAACAUUAUAUGAUACUUGCAUCUGCUAAUUAGUGAAAUAUCAAUGAUCAUUAGUGAAA